rnacentral:rRNA from 1 species
UACGUAGGUGGCGAGCGUUGUCCGGAAUUAUUGGGCGUAAAGAGCUCGUAGGCGGCUUGUCACGUCGGAUGUGAAAGCCCGGGGCUUAACCCCGGGUCUGCAUUCGAUACGGGCUAGCUAGAGUGUGGUAGGGGAGAUCGGAAUUCCUGGUGUAGCGGUGAAAUGCGCAGAUAUCAGGAGGAACACCGGUGGCGAAGGCGGAUCUCUGGGCCAUUACUGACGCUGAGGAGCGAAAGCGUGGGGAGCGAACAGG